CAGCCGCCGCGGUAAUACCGGCGGCCCGAGUGGCGGCCACUAUUAUUGGGCCUAAAGCGUCCGUAGCCGGGCUGGUAAGUCCCCCGGGAAAUCUGGCGGCUUAACCGUCAGAAUUCCGGGGGAUACUGCCAGCCUAGGGAGCGGGAGAGGCCGAGGGUAUUCCCGGAGUAGGGGUGAAAUCCUAUAAUCCCGGGAGGACCACCUGUGGCGAAGGCGCUCGGCUGGAACGCGUCCGACGGUGAGGGACGAAGGCCAGGGGAGCAAACCGGAUUAGAUACCCGGGUAGUCCUGGCUGUAAACGAUGCGGACUUUGUGUCGGACAAGCUAUGAGCUUGUCCGGUGCCGGAGGGAAACCGUUAAGUCCGCCGCCUGGGGAGUACGGCCGCAAGGCUGAAACUUAAAGGAAUUGGCGGG
rnacentral:rRNA from 1 species